CACUGCAAAAAAAGCACGUGCGGGGCCUCAAUGCCGCACGUGCGGGAGAUCCUAGCCGCACGUGCGGCUCAAGGCAGAAAAGUUGGGAUGCUCUGUUUUGCGUGUUGGGUCCUCUAAUGUUGUCAAAACCUGCAAUUUAUAUUGUUUGAAUGAAACACCUCAAAAGGAAGUGCACCGCCACAACACAGUAAUCAACCAGGAGGUCGAUCUUAGCUCGGCAUCGUCAUACUUUUGUCAGCCUAGGCACAGCCAAGCUUGGGGUCGAACCCUACUUUUGUGGAAGUUGUUAGAUGAUGACUCACACUUUUGCUAGUAACUUAAGUUGUUAUGUACUUAAUGAUUUUGUUAUAUACCCCACCUCGGGGUUGGUAUUGUAUAUGCCUGUAAUUAACUAACUCUUAAAUAUAUUUUGGCUUCUAAUGUACUUGUCCUGU